UAUGUAGGGUGCAAGCGUUGUCCGGAAUUAUUGGGCGUAAAGAGCUCGUAGGCGGUCUGUCGCGUCGGCUGUGAAAACUCGGGGCUCAACCCCGAGCCUGCAGUCGAUACGGGCAGACUAGAGUGCGGUAGGGGAGACUGGAAUUCCUGGUGUAGCGGUGAAAUGCGCAGAUAUCAGGAGGAACACCGGUGGCGAAGGCGGGUCUCUGGGCCGUAACUGACGCUGAGGAGCGAAAGCGUGGGGAGCGAACAGG
rnacentral:rRNA from 1 species